rnacentral:rRNA from 1 species
GUCUUUUUGAUUAUAAUUUAAAGUCUAACCUGCCCACUGAAAUUUUUGAAGGGCCGCGGUAUUUUGACUGUGCAAAGGUAGCAUAAUCAUUAGUCUUUUAAUUGAAGGCUUGUAUGAAUGGUUGGAUGAGGUAUAAACUGUCUCAAUUUAAUAAAUAAUAGAAUUUUAUUUUUAAGUUAAAAAGCUUAAAUGACAUUAAAAGACGAGAAGACCCUAUAGAUCUUUAUAAUUAAAUUUAUAAUAAUUUUUUGGAUUAAAUUUAUUUUUAUAGGUUAAAUUAUUUUAUUGGGGUGAUGAAAAAAUUUAUAAAACUUUUUUUUUAUUUAAACAAUGAUAUUUGAUUAUUUGAUCCAUUUUUUGUGAUUAUAAGAUUAAGUUACCUUAGGGAUAACAGCGUAAUUUUUUUGGAGAGUUCUUAUCGAUAAAAAAGAUUGCGACCUCGAUGUUGAAUUAAAGGUUAAUUUUAGGUGUAGAAGUUUAAAAUUUUGGUCUGUUCGACCAUUAAAUC